GUGAAAAGAACCCCGGAAGGGGAGUGAAAUAGAAUCUGAAACCGUGUGCCUACAAUCGGUCGGAGCACAUUAAAGUGUGACGGCGGACUUUUUGUAGAACGGGCCAGCGAGUUACGGUAUAUAGCAAGGUUAAGCACUUAUGGUGUGGAGCCGAAGGGAAACCGAGUCUGAAUAGGGCAACUAGUUGUAUAUUGUAGACCCGAAACCGGGUGACCUAUCCAUGGCCAGGAUGAAGCGGAAGUAAAAUUCCGUGGAGGUCCGAACCACGUUGGUGUUGAAAAACCAUGGGAUGAGCUGUGGAUAGCGGAGAAAUUCCAAUCGAACUCGGAGAUAGCUGGUUCUCCUCGAAAUAGCUUUAGGGCUAGCGUCGGGUAAUUGAGUAGUGGAGGUAGAGCACUGAAUGGGCUAGGGGCUGACAACAGUUACUGAACCCUAUCAAACUCCGAAUGCCAUAUACUUGUACCCCGGCAGUCAGACUACGAAUGAUAAGAUCCGUGGUCAAAAGG
rnacentral:rRNA from 1 species